AUUGAACGCUGGCGGCAUGCCUUACACAUGCAAGUCGAACGGCAGCAUGGAGAGCUUGCUCUCUGAUGGCGAGUGGCGAACGGGUGAGUAAUGCAUCGGAACGUACCGUGUAAUGGGGGAUAACGUAGCGAAAGUUACGCUAAUACCGCAUACGACCUGAGGGUGAAAGCAGGGGAUCGCAAGACCUUGCGUUAUACGAGCGGCCGAUGUCAGAUUAGCUAGUUGGUGAGGUAAAGGCUCACCAAGGCGACGAUCUGUAGCGGGUCUGAGAGGAUGAUCCGCGACCCUGGGACUGAGACACGGCCCAGACUCCUACGGGAGGCAGCCGUGGGGAAUUUUGGACAAUGGGGGCAACCCUGAUCCAGCCAUGCCGCGUGAGUGAAGAAGGCCUUCGGGUUGUAAAGCUCUUUCGGCCGGGAAGAAAUCGCACAGGCUAAUACUCUGUGUGGAUGACGGUACCGGCAUAAGAAGCACCGGCUAACUACGUGCCAGCCGCCGCAGUAA
rnacentral:rRNA from 1 species